GAGUUUGAUCCUGGCUCAGGUUGAACGCUGGCGGCAUGCCUUACACAUGCAAGUCGAACGGUAACAGGUCUUCGGAUGCUGACGAGUGGCGAACGGGUGAGUAAUACAUCGGGACCUACCCAGACGUGGGGGAUAACCUCGGGAAACCGGGACUAAUACCGCAUACGUCCUACGGGAGAAAGCGGGGGACCUUCGGGCCUCGCGCGGUUGGACGGACCGUUGUGCGAUUAGCUAGUUGGUAGGGUAAUGGCCUACCAAGGCGACGAUCGCUAGCUGGUCUGAGAGGAUGAUCAGCCACACUGGGACUGAGACACGGCCCAGACUCCUACGGGAGGCAGCAGUGGGGAAUAUUGGACAAUGGGCGCAAGCCUGAUCCAGCAAUGCCGCGUGUGUGAAGAAGGCCUUCGGGUUGUAAAGCACUUUUAUCAGGAACGAAAUACCACGGGUUAGUAACCUAUGGGGCUGACGGUACCUGAGGAAUAAGCACCCUCUUUAAAGGCGUGCCAGCAGCCGCGGUAAUACG
rnacentral:rRNA from 1 species